AAAAGACUGGACAUACCCCAUUUGCAAUACCUUGGGUUGUCUACUAUUGCAAAUGGUAUGCCAUUAUGGGUGUAAAUUUCAUUCCUGGGCUACUAUACAGUCUCAAAGGCAACAUAACCAAUCUGGCAAAUUUCAAUUUCAAAUGUAACGUGCUAUAUUUGACCCUGUAACUUCCCAAAACACCAUAAAACCUGUACAUAGCGGGUACUGUUUUACAC